ensembl:lncRNA
UGAUGUGAGCUGUGUAGAGAGGUUGUCUCUGUCACAAUAAAAGUUCACUGAUUCCCCAUCUGCAGCAGGUGUCCGGUUGUCUUCAUUCUCCGCCAGCCUGGAUCCGCUCCAGGGCAACUGGAACGGAUGGGAGGAAAUCGGCCGUGGUCUGAGUGAACGGAGUUUGGACAAAAGCUGUGUGCACACAAAAACAAGGACAGCUGUUACUGCUUUCAUCGGGAACCGAGACUGCUUGCAGCCGACCCCUGGGCAGGGUGGUGCCUGGACUCUUUUCUCCUCAUCUGCAAUGACAGAUAAAGACAAAUGAUAAGACCCGAGGAGUUUUUCGAGCCAGGCUUCGACACGUCUCUGUGUUCCUUUGAAUGUUACUUAUUUUUUGUGUGUUGACCCAUUUAAGAUGGGUCAAAAGGGGGAUUUGAAGAAAAUAUAAUCUGAUCAAACAUUAUUCAGCUUUAAAUAUUGUUCAGCUUUAAAGUUACUGUGCAACUGUGUAAUAAAAAUGUGCUCACGACUUUGGCCUUGAGAGCGAUAAGAAGCGAUCGCCUCAUUCUGCAGGUGCAAGAUAUCUGCAAGCGAAGAGACUAGAACACCCAAGGCCGCUUUCCUUUUAUGGAGUUGUUUUUCUGCUAAUGCAGCACUGUCCUCACAACCCCCUCCUGUAAGUUUUAGAGAAUAUAUACCCAUCCUCACAGCAAAUAUGGGGAAUCUCCUGAUGUGAGCUGUGUAGAGAGGUUGUCUCUGUCACAAUAAAAGUUCACUGAUUCCCCAUCUGCAGCAGGUGUCCGGUUGUCUUCAUUCUCCGCCAGCCUGGCUAAGUCAAUUCCUCCUUAACAUCUAAAAGAACCUAUUUAAUGAAGGAAGACGGGUUCACUUUGUGUUUAAUAUUAUUCUAUUGCUGUUGUUGUUUUUUUAU